rnacentral:rRNA from 1 species
CGUAGGGUGCGAGCGUUAAUCGGAAUUACUGGGCGUAAAGCGUGCGCAGGCGGUUUUGUAAGACAGGCGUGAAAUCCCCGGGCUCAACCUGGGAACUGCGCUUGUGACUGCAAGGCUAGAGUGCGGCAGAGGGGGGUGGAAUUCCACGUGUAGCAGUGAAAUGCGUAGAGAUGUGGAGGAACACCAAUGGCGAAGGCAGCCCCCUGGGUCGAUACUGACGCUCAUGCACGAAAGCGUGGGUAGCAAACAGGAUUAGAUACCCUGGUAGUCCACGCCCUAAACGAUGUCAACUAGGUGUUGGGUGGGUAAAACCAUUUAGUACCGGAGCUAACGCGUGAAGUUGACCGCCUGGGGAGUACGGCCGCAAGGUUA